UAAACUGCACAUAUAACGUGAAUCAGGAAAAGACAAAAAGAAAAAAAGUGUGAGAGACGGGCCUUCCAAUUUCUAGGCACCUUGAACAUCAUCUUUACAAAUAUAACCACCUUUUUUUUCACUUCACAUUUCUAACCACCUUAAAUCUCGGACGAACAUGUUGUGAAAGUGCUGUUAUGUUCGCCCCUGGCAAGGGAGAACAUAACAAAGGAGACGUUAUAUGUUCGCCCCCCACAGGGGCGAACACAUAAGGGCAUGCACGCUAGAGAUUUCCAAUAUUGACAAUUUGCAACAGGAGGACCUACUGGAAUUUUUUGGUGACAACUGACAUGUACUUUUGUAUUCAUGUUCCUUAUCUAUGGUUUUCUCGAGCACUUUUACUUGUAAAUGUUUUUAACUAAAAUUGCGUAUAAUUUAGAGAAAAUUAAGACUUCGACAGACAAUUAAAAAUAUAUACAUCUCUAUUAAAAGUAUUUAAAUAUGUAUUUUCUGGGGGGAAAUAAUUCACCUUUAUAAAUAAAAAAUAUUAAAGUCAUAUUAAAUAUUUACACUAUAAAUAUUAAUGAAUAUGAAUUUUUUUUCUUAAAUAAGUCUGUGAAAUUAGUUUAACCAAAGUAUAGGAUAAAUUUAAAGGAAGUGAGGAGGGGGAAUGAUACUCCUCUGUUCUCAUUUGUUUACGGUUUUUUCACACUGCUCGACACGCAUUUUAAUGCGUAUAUAAAACAUAGUUCUAUAGUUUAUUUUUAAUUUUUUUUCUUUAUUAUAUAAAAAUAUAAAUAACAAAUUUUUAUUUAAAAGAAAAAAGUUCGAAAUAAUUUAUUGAACUACGUUUUACGAGAGCAUUAGAAUGCGUGUCGAGCCCCCGCCCCCUAAUGUAAACAAAUGAGGGGACGGAGGGAGUAUUAGUUUCUAGCAUUUAUGUCUCAUUUGAGUUUUUGUUGAUCUUGUACAUAAAUUAUCUUAUAUUCAUAUAAUUUAAACUAAUAAAAAGUUUAUAAUCCCUUCCAAUUUCAUUUGAUUAUUUUUCACUUAUGUUUAAUUUUUUAAUUUAACGACCAAAACUAAAAGUUUUAUUUUUCCUAAUAAAAAAUAAAUAACAAAAUUCUAAUAAAAUAUAAAAAAAUAUUAAUAUUACUACGCAAAGCCCUCAGAAAACACGGCAUGUUAAAAACGUACAGCAUGAAAAUGCAGCUCCCCGGAGGCUGUAGACAAUUGAUUGUGAAAAACAUGAGAGAAAAUUAAGCUAAUGUCAUUAUUACACAGACAAUUGUUCAGACCGACCCAGCAACCCCUUUUCUGUCCGCGUGCAUGCCCUUAUGUGUUCGCCCCUGUGGGGGGCGAACAUAUAACGUCCCCUUUGUUAUGUUCUCCCUUGUCAGGGGCGAACAUAACAGCACUUUCACAACAUGUUCGCCCGAGAUUUAAGGUGGUUAGAAAUGUGAAGUGAAAAAAAGAGUGGUUAUAUUUGUAAAGAUGAUGUUCAAGGUGCCUAGAAAUUGGAAGGAGCCGUGAGAGACGUAUCCAGCACAUUCACAAAUGUCCGUAUUCUGACCCAGAAAAGGAAAGUAAAAAUCCUCUUGAUCUUUCUAAAAUCUCUCUCAACAUGAUCUCCGAAACACACUGGCUGUCUAGUUGACUCUUCUUUCACACACAUAAUCAUAAAUCAUAAUAUAAAUUAUGGAACCGUUUGGGUGAGUUUAAAAUAAGUGCUUAUUGCUUAAAAUAAAUAAG
rnacentral:lncRNA from 1 species